AGAUUUUCAUAUAUUUAUUGAUCUAUUUGAUUUUAACCAUUUUUAAAAUUUAAAAUUUUCUAAUUAGGUAUGAAAAUAGAUUUUAAAAUAAUACUAAGAAUUUUUUCGCCUUAAUUGGAUUGUUUAAGGUUGCAUCCUUAUAGAAACCCCACCCAUAAAGGGAAAAUUUUAUAUAAGGUUGCAAUAAAAGGGAAAGCUUUCUAUGUUCCCCCUACAACAUAGAAGUUAUAUCCUCCCCUUACCAUCUAGCUAUCCAUUUUUUAUCAAGAGAGCCACUCAUUGUUUGAUCUUAGAUCCGACGUCUCAAAGUAUUUUAUUUAUAAUUUUAUUUAUACAAAUUGUAUGAUUAUACGUGUCAUCUUUUCAUUGGGGAACACCUAUAAAAAAUAUUUAAAAUAAUUUUCGAUAAAAUAUAAUGACCAAAAUUCCUCUUGAAACUUUUUGAGGUAUUUUGGUUAUUUUAUUUUAUUGAAAAUAUUUUUUUAUAUAUUUUUUGCUAGUGCAAGUUUAAUAGACGAAUGGACAUCAAAAACUUGGUGUCAAAAUAGUUUAAAGAAAAAAACGUUAAAAAUAAAAUAAUGUAGAGACGUGACAUUGAAAUUAGGGCACUCUUAGCCCUCCAUUCAGAAUGGACAGUUGGAUAAGGGGCACGAUAAAACUUCUAUGCUGUAGGGGAAGCAUAAAAAGCUUGUCCAAUUUAUUUUUGUUAUUUUUCUAAAAGUCUGACAGGG
rnacentral:lncRNA from 1 species